rnacentral:rRNA from 1 species
CUACGGGUGGCAGCAGUGGGGAAUAUUGCACAAUGGGCGAAAGCCUGAUGCAGCAACGCCGCGUGGGUGAUGAAGGCUUUCGGGUCGUAAAGCCCUGUCAGAGGGGAAGAACUGUUACAUGUCUAAUAUAUGUGUAACCUGACGGUACCAUCAAAGGAAGCACCGGCUAACUCCGUGCCAGCAGCCGCGGUAAUACGGAGGGUGCAAGCGUUGUUCGGAAUUACUGGGCGUAAAGCGCGCGUAGGCGGCUAUGUAAGUCAGAUGUGAAAGCCCAUGGCUUAACCAUGGACGUGCAUUUGAUACUGCAUGGCUUGAGUACUGGAGGGGGUGGUGGAAUUCCCGGUGUAGAGGUGAAAUUCGUAGAUAUCGGGAGGAAUACCGGUGGCGAAGGCGACCACCUGGCCAGAUACUGACGCUGAGGUGCGAAAGCGUGGGGAGCAAACAGGAUUAGAUACCCUAGUAGUC